rnacentral:rRNA from 1 species
AGCUCAAAACGGGUGGUAAAUUCCCAUCUAAAGCUAAAUACAGGCGAGAGACCGAUAGCGAACAAGUACCGUGAGGGAAAGAUGAAAAAGAACUUUGGAAAGAGAGUUAAACAGUACGUGAAAUUGUCGAAAGGGAAACGCUUGAAGUCAGUCGCGUCAGCUGGGACUCAGCCGGGCUUUUGCCCGGUGCAUUUCUCAGUCGAUGGGCCAGCAUCGAUUUUGGUCGCCAGAUAAGGGCGGGGGGAAUGUGGCACCCUCGGGUGUGUUAUAGACCUCCGUCGUAUAUGGUGGCUGGGAUCGAGGACCGCAGCACGCCGCAAGGUCGGGGUUCGCCCACGUUACGUGCUUAGGAUGCUGGCGUAAUGGCUUUAAACGACCCGUCUUGAAACACGGACCAAGGAGUCUAACAUGCCUGCGAGUGUUUGGGUGUUAAACCCAGGCGCGGAAUGAAAGUGAAAGGUUGGGACUCCUUUAGGAGGCACCGACGCCCGAUCCUGACCUUCUGUGACGGAUUUGAGGCAGAGCAUGUAUGUUGGGACCCGAAAGAGGGNCUAUGCCUGAAUAGGGCGAAGCCAGAGGAAACUCUGGGGGCCUNCGAUUCUGACGUGCAAAUCGAUCGUCAAAUUUGGGUAUAGGG